UACGUAGGAGGCAAGCGUUUGUCCGGAAUUACUGGGCGUAAGGCGCGUGUAGGUGGUGGGACAAGUCUGCUGUGAAAGCGCCUGGCUUAACCGGGCGAGGUCGGCGGAAACUGUCCGACUCGAGGACGGUAGAGGGGGGUGGAAUUCCCGGUGUAGUGGUGAAAUGCGUAGAGACUGGGAGGAACACCUGUGGCGAAGGCGGCCCCCUGGGCCGGCCCUGACACUGAGACGCGAAGGCGUGGGGAGCGAACGGG
rnacentral:rRNA from 1 species